AACGCUAGCUACAGGCUUAACACAUGCAAGUCGAGGGGCAGCAUUUCAGUUUGCUUGCAAACUGGAGAUGGCGACCGGCGCACGGGUGAGUAACACGUAUCCAACCUGCCGAUAACUCGGGGAUAGCCUUUCGAAAGAAAGAUUAAUACCCGAUGGCAUAAUUAGACCGCAUGGUCUUAUUAUUAAAGAAUUUCGGUUAUCGAUGGGGAUGCGUUCCAUUAGGCAGUUGGUGAGGUAACGGCUCACCAAACCUUCGAUGGAUAGGGGUUCUGAGAGGAAGGUCCCCCACAUUGGAACUGAGACACGGUCCAAACUCCUACGGGAGGCAGCAGUGAGGAAUAUUGGUCAAUGGACGAGAGUCUGAACCAGCCAAGUAACGUGAAGGAUGACUGCCCUAUGGGUUGUAAACUUCUUUUAUAUGGGAAUAAAGUUUUCCACGUGUGGAAUUUUGUAUGUACCAUAUGAAUAAAGAUCGGCUAACUCCGUGCCAGCAGCCGCGGUAAUACGGAGGAUCCGAGCGUUAUCCGGAUUUAUUGGGUUUAAAGGGAGCGUAGGUGGACAGUUAAGUCAGUUGUGAAAGUUUGCGGCUCAACCGUAAAAUUGCAGUUGAUACUGGCUGUCUUGAGUACAGUAGAGGUGGGCGGAAUUCGUGGUGUAGCGGUGAAAUGCUUAGAUAUCACGAAGAACUCCGAUUGCGAAGGCAGCUCACUGGACUGCAACUGACACUGAUGCUCGAAAGUGUGGGUAUCAAACAGGAUUAGAUACCCUGGUAGUCCACACAGUAAACGAUGAAUACUCGCUGUUUGCGAUAUACAGUAAGCGGCCAAGCGAAAGCAUUAAGUAUUCCACCUGGGGAGUACGCCGGCAACGGUGAAACUCGAAGGAAUUGACGGGGGCCCGCACAAGCGGAGGAACAUGUGGUUUAAUUCGAUGAUACGCGAGGAACCUUACCCGGGCUUAAAUUGCAUUUGAAUAAUCUGGAAACAGGUUAGCCGCAAGGCAAAUGUGAAGGUGCUGCAUGGUUGUCGUCAGCUCGUGCCGUGAGGUGUCGGCUUAAGUGCCAUAACGAGCGCAACCCUUAUCUUUAGUUACUAACAGGUCAUGCUGAGGACUCUAGAGAGACUGCCGUCGUAAGAUGUGAGGAAGGUGGGGAUGACGUCAAAUCAGCACGGCCCUUACGUCCGGGGCUACACACGUGUUACAAUGGGGGGUACAGAAGGCAGCUACCUGGUGACAGGAUGCUGAUCCCAAAAGCCUCUCUCAGUUCGGAUCGAAGUCUGCAACCCGACUUCGUGAAGCUGGAUUCGCUAGUAAUCGCGCAUCAGCCAUGGCGCGGUGAAUACGUUCCCGGGCCUUGUACACACCGCCCGUCAAGCCAUGAAAGCCGGGGGUACCUGAAGUACGUAACCGCAAGGAGCGUCCUAGGGUAAAACUGU
rnacentral:rRNA from 1 species